GGUCGGGUCCUGUGCAACGCAGGGCCGUGAACCGAGUCAGGGCCGGAAGGCAGCAGCUCUCAGCGGAUACCAGCGUGUGCCGCAGAUCGCCUGACCGUC
rnacentral:SRP_RNA from 1 species